rnacentral:rRNA from 1 species
GACGAACGCUGGCGGCGUGCUUAACACAUGCAAGUCGAACGGAAAGGCCCUGCUCUUGUGGGGUGCUCGUGUGGCGAACGGGUGAGUAACACGUGAGUAACCUGCCCUUGACUUUGGGAUAACUUCAGGGAACUGGGGCUAAUACCGGAUAGGAGCUCCUGCUGCACGGUGGGGGUUGGAAAGUUUCGGCGGUUGGGGAUGGACUCGCGGCUUAUCAGCUUGUUGGUGGGGUAGUGGCUUACCAAGGCUUUGACGGGUAGCCGGCCUGAGAGGGUGACCGGCCACAUUGGGACUGGGGUACGGCCCAGACUCCUACGGGAGGCAGCAGUGGGGAAUAUUGCACAAUGGGCGGAAGCCUGAUGCAGCAACGCCGCGUGCGGGAUGACGGCCUUCGGGUUGUAAACCGCUUUCGCCUGUGACGAAGCGUGAGUGACGGUAAUGGGUAAAGAAGCACCGGCUAACUACGUG